AGUGAACGCUGGCGGUAGGCCUAACACAUGCAAGUCGAACGGCAGCACAGUAAGAGCUUGCUCUUACGGGUGGCGAGUGGCGGACGGGUGAGGAAUACAUCGGAAUCUACUUUUUCGUGGGGGAUAACGUAGGGAAACUUACGCUAAUACCGCAUACGACCUACGGGUGAAAGCAGGGGAUCUUCGGACCUUGCGCGAUUGAAUGAGCCGAUGUCGGAUUAGCUAGUUGGCGGGGUAAAGGCCCACCAAGGCGACGAUCCGUAGCUGGUCUGAGAGGAUGAUCAGCCACACUGGAAAUGAGACACGGUCCAGACUCCUACGGGAGGCAGCAGUGGGGAAUAUUGGUCAAUGGGCGCAAGCCUGAUCCAGCCAUACCGCGUGGGUGAAGAAGGCCUUCGGGUUGUAAAGCCCUUUUGUUGGGAAAGAAAAGCAGCAGGUUAAUACCCCGCUGUUCUGACGGUACCCAAAGAAUAAGCACCGGCUAACUUCGUG
rnacentral:rRNA from 1 species